ensembl:lncRNA
CCCAAACUUAUUUCUGUCAUUAAGGUUGUGAAAUUUCGUAUCCUCUGACUACCAUCUUCAUGUCUUCCCCCCACACUGGACAGAGCUCUGGUAAACACCACUCCAUUCUUUUCUUCAAUGGAAACAAUUCUUCAUUCCACACUGGACUGGAAUCACAGUGGAAACAGAAGACAGAUGGUUAAUGAAACCACGUCACUGGAAAAAAAUAUGGGAUAAACACAAAGUGAGGGACCCAAGGAGUUUUCACUCGGAAGCAAUGACUUAGAAUAACAAGAAGCAGAAGCAUUUGAACAUGAAUUUGUAUUGAGGAAAGUGUUUCUGUGUGCCGAGCGGUUAGCUUGCUGUUGUGAGUAUCUCAUGGUUAUUUUACAUUUAUAUAUUUAUUUGUUGUGUCUAUGCAUGCACAUGUACAUGCCGCAGAUCAGAGGACAUUGGCACGAAGAUCAGAGGACAGCUUUUAGAGUCUGUUUUCUCUCUCUACCAUAAGUUACAGGAUUGAACACUGGUUGUCAGCCUUGGAAGCAAGGAUCUUUGCCUACUGAGACAAUUGCUGGCUCUCCUGUGGGAUUCCUUUGUUAAACAGUUCAACCUUCCUACAUGUGCUCUGGUAUGCAGCAUCUCUUUCCAUCAGCGAGAUAGAGAAGGAUACGGAACGUCUACAGCUUGUGAAUGAAAUAUGAGGCAAGGGUUCCAGUAAGCCAGAAGACUGGUGUUUGCUUGGCUGACUCAAGAACUGAACCGUACAGAAAUGAACAAUCAGGUCUUCAACACUGGGAUGCAAUUUCAGGAUAGUGAUCAUCUAUAGUGGGCUCAAAAGCCAAAUGAGAAGAAGGCAUUUGUGUGUUGCAACCGGGAUAGUAAUGUUCACCUAGCCCCGGAUGAGUCUGUGUGUGUUUUGUGUUUUCUGGACAUCCCAGGAUGCUGUGGUGAAACCCAGCCAACAGGAAUCACAGCAACUACAAAGAAAGAAAAAGAGAGAUUAGAAGGACCUAGUGUUCAGCCUACAAACAUUGCAUUUUCAAAAACACUUGGGGUUCUUUUCUUGGUCUGUCUUGCUGGUCAUCUGCUAAUUCCUGCAGUGUUGGACCUCUGUCCUCUCUGCCUCCGUGUCUGGAUUGCUGCUGUGCUCCCUCAGAGCUCCUUCCUGUCGGAAGACCACUCCCGAUUCCUUUAUGCACAUGGCUCCAGGGUAGGUUUUAAAUGGAGGUGGGGUUUUCUCCUUUCUUUCUGUCUCUCAUCUUAGUCCCACGUGGCUUUGAUGACAGAGGAUGGGGACAGCCUUAAUUCUGUACUUCCCUCUGCCCCUACUUUGAAUGCGGUGUUUUGAUCCUCAG